GAUGAACGCUAGCGGCAGGCUUAAUACAUGCAAGCCGUGGGGCAGCAUGAAUGUAGCAAUACAUUUGAUGGCGACCGGCAAACGGGUGCGGAACACGUACACAACCUUCCUAUAAGUGGGGAAUAGCCCAGAGAAAUUUGGAUUAAUACCCCGUAACAUAACGAUGUGGCAUCACAUUGUUAUUAUAGCUUCGGCGCUUAUUGAUGGGUGUGCGGCUGAUUAGAUAGUUGGCGGGGUAACGGCCCACCAAGUCUACGAUCAGUAGCUGAUGUGAGAGCAUGAUCAGCCACACGGGCACUGAGACACGGGCCCGACUCCUACGGGAGGCAGCAGUAAGGAAUAUUGGUCAAUGGACGCAAGUCUGAACCAGCCAUGCCGCGUGAAGGAUUAAGGUCCUCUGGAUUGUAAACUUCUUUUAUCUGGGACGAAAAAAGGCGAUUCUUCGUCACUUGACGGUACCAGAUGAAUAAGCACCGGCUAACUCCGUGCCAGCAGCCGCCGCGGUAA
rnacentral:rRNA from 1 species